rnacentral:lncRNA from 1 species
AACUCAGUUAACAUAAAGGACUCCUGCUCUAAUGGUUUGCAAAAUGGCCCCAUUGUAUAUGUUUCUUAUUUAUUUCAGAAUAUCAUCUUCUUAGACAUUCCAGGAUACCGUUUUAGGAGUUGAACUCCAAGUGCAGUGAUUAUUUUUUUCCCUAGACCAUUAUACUUAACCUUACUGUAUCAAACAUCAAAAGGAAAAAAGCACAACCAGAAAUUUUGGCUCUCAAUUUGCUGCAAGACUAUUAAUAUCUAGUCCCUGGACUCUAUACUAAGAGCUUUCCUGAAAUUUUUAAGUUGGUAUCCUUGCCUAGGACAAAGUUUUUCAAUAAAUGUGUCGGAAAUCUGCUUUAAAACCAUUUAAUUUAGAUUGGAGUGGGGGUCGUAAACUUCAAGUCCUAUUUCUGUAUGAGGAUAUAUUAUCCUACACCACCUCUACCAUUUUAUCAAUUUCCAUUUGUAGUUAUUUUAAUAAAAGCCAUUUCAAUUCUGAGAAGUGCUCAUUCUUAGUUGUGAGAGGUCUAUGCACGUGAGGCAGAAAAGCUCGUUCAGUGAUGUUCUCGUCUCUGAUAGACUAUGCCGCCUAGCAAACUUCCUCUUCUUAGUGGUGAAGUAACUCAGCAGCUCACUAAAAUGGCAGUUUCUGUCCAGGAGGUGUGAUAUAAGGUUUUUGGGUCUUAUCUCUGAGUUGUCUUCUGAGACUGUCACUACCAAGUUUUUGGAGGGUGGCCUUUUUUCACAUGAUGCGACAAAUUAUAACUCAUAAGAUUUAGGUAUAAUCUGGUUCUGAAAACUUGAUUGAAACUGUUGUUUUUUAACUCAGCAGGCAGCAUAGGCCAUGGCUGAAAAGAAGGGGUAAGUCCUUCCUUGCAUGAUGAUGUGUGCAGGUUUUCCUGAUUACUGAAUUUCUAAUUUUCAUAUUUGAAUUCACACGUGUGACUUCACAUCAAUAACUUGUGUCUCUGAAAUAUCCUAACUAACUUGUUAAUAGGAAAGGAAACCAGAUUUGCUUAAAUCUGUUCAAGGCUGACAUUCUGAAAUUCUAAACUGAAAAUAACUUCCAGAGUAUUUGGAAAGGUUUUGAUUAUGACAACCAGCCUAAAGUGGCUCUUUCGGAAAGAAAUUUCCUUUCUGAUGAAAAACUUAAAGAAUGUGUUUGGGCAUUUAAACUUCUAAAAAGACAGCUUCACAUGUAUUCAAGCGAACCUUUUGUUGUUGUUGCUUUUGUUUUUGUUUUGUGGAAGGAUAAAAGAGGACCAAAAAGUAAUACCUUUACCUAACCCCUAGCGUGACUUGUAUCUUGGAGUGGAGGUCCUCCACCUCCACCUACCCCACUGUGGUUUUUAAAAAAACAAACCCGUGGUGUAUAUUGAGAAUGUCAGUCAUGAGCUUAGUGUGUAAGUAGUACAUCUCACUUGCAGACGUUUGCAUGAUGUCUUGUAGAUCUUGUAUAUCCAACUUUGCUUUUGCUGUGCCAACUCAAAAAUAUUUUGCUGAAAAAAAAUCUCAAAAUUGAUUGACAUCAGUUUUGUUUUUAUCACUUAGUUUUAUAUAGUAUUGCUGGGACCAAAAACUUUUAAAAUACAUAGAACAGAAGUUUGAAGCUGGAAAGAUAGUGUUUAUCGAAGACUUGUGUGCUUUUGCUCUUUAAACUCUUCAGGCUACUGGUAAGGCAGUUUCUAGGGCACUCUUUUUUCUCUGUUUCUUGACUAGUGUAGCAUGUCAUAUGUUUAAAUACUUCAUUCUCUGCUUCAUAAUUCUAAUGAGACACUGUACUGUAGGUAGACAAGUAAACUAAACAUAUAUUUUAGUUACUUGGCCUAAUCAAACAUAGAUAAAGGGACUUUUUUGUACUUUCCUCAAAUUAAGCUUAAAUUAAAAGGGUGUGUUGGCCACAUUUCCUGUCUUUUGAAAGUCUACAGAAUUGUGAAGUAGGUUCCCUGCCUCCAUUAGCAAAAUAGGGUAUUUCUAGGUUGCCAUUUAACUGUAGAAUAUUUGAGAAACGCUUUGGUCUCUCCUUUAAUUAUCAAACAUUUUGGCACAGUCCAUCACUCCAGUUUGUUGCUUUCUUGAGAGUAGUCCAUUUUUGUUGUUAUAAUGCCUACAUUAUAACGUGCUCUGGUCAUUGGAAACCAAACAGCUCAUAGUUGAGUGACAUAAUACAAUAACAAUAACAUAAUAUAGUAGCCAUCUCGCUUCAAGGAAUUUAAUUAGAUAGCCAAAUAACUGCUCUUUGUUGAUUACCUUCGUAGGGCUUUUGUCUUACUCUCUGAGCAUCACUACGAAUGUCUGACACUGAAGCACAUACAGUAGAGCACUUGUUCACUUAAUCCUCCUGCAUAAUGCACUUGUGAAAAAUUAAGCUUGCUAGAUGUUUGAAGACUAUGGUCCAUGUGCUAGGGCUCACUGACUUAUUUGUAAAAUACAUAUUUAGUUCAAGCUGAUACACAGUGACUUUUGGGGGCUAUCAGUAUCCAAGCCCCUACUCUACUCAAAGUAUAAUCUUGGCUAUCUCCCUUUAAGUCAGAGGAGAUGUAGAAUUUAGGAUGCUUUUGAGACAUCAUAUUGUAAAAUAGCCUGUUUUAUGUUCCUAAAACUAUCUUGUUCUGUGUUGAAGCUAUCAGUUGUCUCAAUGUAAGUUUUAAAUAAACAUAUUUCUUUAGA